UUUGUUUUCCCGUUGUUGGUGGACUAGAGGCUGACUAACUUCAAAGUUUGGGCACGUUAACUUGUCGGGCAUUGGUUCUAUAAACUGCAUUGUUUCAGUUCGCAUUCCCCUUGGGCUUUGGAGAGGACUUUAGAGAGGGGGCCCAUACGGUUUGAUCAGCAUUGACUUAAUACCCGAAGCAGCUUCUUGCAGCUGCGUCCAACGAGAAGGCUAGGUUUCUGAGUUUAAAAACCGAGUAGGAUAGGAUAUUCUGCAGAGCCGUAUCUUUCUUUUUGCUGUAUAGAUCCCGAUUUUGCCUCUAAUGUGAGAUAAGACCUCCUUGAGUGACUGAUUGAAGGGGUUUUGGUGGAGGGAAUUUAUUACUCAUAUUGAAUGUUUCAUCUCCGGUUGUCGGUGGAGCUUUAAACUCUGGAAGGUUACUGUAUUCGAUAGUAGUUGAGGUCAUCUCAACCUUUGGAUCAACCGAUUCUUUCCUUCCUGAAGCUCUGCCUAUCACGACUGAGUUGGUGAUCGGAGAAGACGGCAUGAAACCCAGCUGUUCUAGCUUGUUGCCUUAGUCAAUCCAAUAUGGUUCUUGUUCUGGAGAAAAGCAUAAGUCCUCCCAAGAAAGUGCUUCAAUUUGGUUGAUCAGGUUUUCCAUAUCCAUUGGGGAAAUCGUUAGAAGGAUGAAGGGUUGGGAAGAGUGGGAGGUUGGAGUGAUGUGGGAAAGAAAGAAGUUUGUGGGAGGGUUGAACUCAUCUGAACAUCAGAGAGCUGGCUAUCGCGGGAGCUUCGAUUUUUUUCAAGUAUAUGCUGGCUAAUAGUGUAGUCGGCAUAAAACUGUACUUAAAAGAUGAUAUAAGCAUAAAUCUCUACUUUAAGAUAAUGAGAAAUAAGUCUUUCACCA